rnacentral:rRNA from 1 species
UACGUAGGGUGCGAGCGUUGUCCGGAAUUAUUGGGCGUAAAGAGCUCGUAGGCGGUCUGUCGCGUCUGCUGUGAAAACCCGAGGCUCAACCUCGGGCCUGCAGCCGAUACGGGCAGACUAGAGUUCGGCAGGGGAGACUGGAAUUCCUGGUGUAGCGGUGAAAUGCGCAGAUAUCAGGAGGAACACCGGUGGCGAAGGCGGGUCUCUGGGCCGAUACUGACGCUGAGGAGCGAAAGCGUGGGGGAGCGAACAGG